UUUGAAAGUUCACCCUUCUAAGCCAAGAACAAUACUUUCUCUUGCAUUUGUGGAGUCCCAUAUCCAGCCUUUUUUGAAGGAUGUUGGAAACUACAGAUUGAUUUGUUUCACCUUACUAGGAAGUGAACACUUCGCACAGGAAAGGGAGGGACUCCGUAGAGCAAGCCCGCUGUGAAGGUUGUACAGCCUUUACUCGUUUAAUGCCAAUACACGCUUAUAUUAAAUAACCGUAUUUAAACAAUAGGUUACGUUUCCGACAAUAGGCAACUGAGCAUGAGAAACAAUGUUUCAGUUUAAACAAAGUAUUUAAGUUAGCCUAGGUGUUACAAGAGCUAGCAAAAUAUAAUCAACGCACGACGAGUGUUCGUGAACUUUGUCUUCUUUCACCCCUCUUGCAAUGUCCACUACACUCUUAGCCAUGAACUGUAGGAAGGUGUUUCUAACGCUCGGCGGGGGACGCGGUGUGACAAACGCUGCGUUCGGAUCGCAUUUUGUUUCCGUCCCACGCCGUUCCAUAAUAGACCUCUCCUACUCCACCCACUUCAUGGAUUUUAAAGGUUCCUCGAUUCCUAGCUCCAUGAAAAAGCUGGUCGUGACGAAGCUCAGCCAAAAUUUCAGGGAAGCUGUUUCCUUGCAAAUUGUUCCAGUGCCGACUCCGGGCGAUGGGGACUUGCUUAUUAGAAAUCGAUUUGUUGGCAUCAAUGCGUCUGAUAUCAAUUACACAGCCGGUCGCUAUGACCCCUCAGUCAAGCCACCUUUUGACGCAGGGUUCGAGGGCAUCGGGGAGGUCGUCGGCCUGGGCCUGAGCGCCAGCGCCCGCUUCACGGUGGGCGACACCGUGGCCUACUUCGGCAGCGGGUCGUUCGCCGAGUACACGGUGGUGCCGGCCAAAGCGACCGUCCGCGUGCCGUCGGUCAAGCCGCAGUUCCUCACGCUCCUGGUGAGCGGCGCCACGGCCUACAUCGCCCUGAAGAGGCUGGGCGACCUGGCGGAGGGCCAGACCGUCCUGGUGACGGCGGCGGCGGGCGGCACCGGCCAGUUCGCCGUCCAGUUCGCCAAGAUGGCCAAGUGCCACGUGGUGGGCACGUGCUCCUCGGACGAGAAGUCCGGCUUCCUGAAGACCAUCGGCUGCGACCGGCCCAUCAACUACAGGAGCGAGGACCUGGCCGGGGUCCUGCAGCGGGAGUACCCGCGGGGGCUGGACGUCGUCUACGAGUCGGUCGGGGGCAGCGUCUUCGAUCUGGCCGUCAACCGCCUGGCCCAGAAGGGUCGGCUGAUCGUCAUCGGCUUCAUCUCGGGGUACCAGACGGCCUCCGGGGUCCAGCCGGUGAAGGCCGGGACGCUGCCCGUCAAGCUGCUGCAGAGGUCGGCCAGCGUGCGUGGCUUCUUCCUCCCGCACUUCCUGUCGGACUACGGGGAGGCCAUGGCGGACAUGCUGCGAAUGUGCGAGAGCGGGGAGCUGGUGUGCGAGGUGGACGUGGGGGAGAUGACUCCGGAAGGGCGCUUUGUGGGGCUGGAGUCGGUUUACCGGGCCGUUGACCAUAUGUACGCAGCAUCCAGUGUCUUUCUGCAUAGAUCCCUCAGUCUGGGAGUGGCUGGACGGAGCAAAGGAUGGAGUCACGGUUCGGGCGUCCACCAGGCAAAGAUGUAGAAGCCCCGGCUCCCCUUGAGUGAUGGGCAGUUCCCCCCCAACCUCUGCGCCGCUGGAGUCCAUCUCCUUCCCCUCGGCAGAUGCCAUCGCGGCCAAGGACACGGGGCGUCAGCGACCGUCCGGGAGACCCCGUUCAUCAGGGCGUAUCGAAUGUUUAUAUGACCUUGUUAAGGCAUUCAGACUGCUGCCAAAUAACUGAGAGUCCAAGUACUGAAGCUAGGAGUAGUGUGGUACUGUGACCGUGGAAAAGAGAUUGCCGUCCAAAUGUUUCAGGGCAGCAGCACUGUCUGUUACAGAGUCUGGACAGCAGGAAAAUGGAUCCUGGAAGGAAGUUUGAACUGCUGUUGUACCCUUCAGUAAGGAUGUGGGCGGGAGUGGACGAGACGGAAUUAAUUGAGCGGGAGUUUAGCCGUCUGACGUGAGACGUCGGGAGCUUUCUCGGCCCGGGACGGAGACAGGUGAUUGGGCAACAUACGGAGCGCUUGGAGGGAGCAAACCGUUUGGCAGAAGGUGAUUCCUGUCUGUUCACAUGCACUCUUGGGUGUAACACCAUCACUCUUGUUUUGGAAAGAGGUCAAUCUGUCACAAAAAAAGAAGGACAACUGGCACUCUGGGAAGGCUUCAAAGUCAGGCUGCUCCUGGUAAGAAUGAGACAAGAUGAGCCAUCAGUUAUAUGUGGAAUUUUCCCUUCUGUAAUUCCAACAAUCCUUUGCUGGAGUUGAAGACACAGUUUUGGCCUUUGUCUGUGUAUAAACUGAACCUGAGCCCCUUAGGCCUGUCGGUGAUUCAGUGUUAAACUACUGUACUAACAGGACUGGGGAACAUCCAUUUGUGAAUUUCAUCAUUGUUAAAAUUGAUAACUUCCACAAUGUAUGUUUAUGUCUGCUCCCGAAAAGACCAGUUGAGUGAUUCUAUGCUUGACCUGGCAUGAUUGCCAAGACAUGAAAGACCUUGAUACCAUGAUGGUUGAAAAUUGUAAAGUUACAGUAUAUUUUGUUUAUGUGCAAUUACUGUUCAGCUCAGGCUCUGUCGAUGAUUUUGUGGAUGUUUGUCUCUGUGUUUGCAGCCUUUAUUGGCUAACUUUAGCCUACCAGAUAACUGCUGUCGCAUUUCCUGCAAAUAACAUAGAACUAACACAAGGAUCACACCCUACAAGUGUGAAGCAGCAAUUCUACAGUAAGCUCCUGACCCCCGAUUCCCUCCUUAGGAAAAAUAGACACAAGGGUAUAAUUAUUCUGUCUGUGUAAGGUGCACUUAGCAGAUGGUACACUGUUUCAUUCACAAACUCCCACUCACCCUAUACUGCUGCCAGGCAAAGAUACUCUGAACACUGAGCAAGAUAUGCUACACAAUCCACACAGAAAACAGACCAUAGGCUAUGCAAUCCACACAGAUGACAGACCAUGUACAAUAUAUUUACACCAGCCAUUUCUAAAAAAACAAAAACAAAAACAAAAAAAAAUAGGAGUAAUUGGCCUUUUGAUCGAUAUUCUCUGCAGCAUUUGUAACAAAAAUUUUAAAAAUAUUGAGUUAUGUUUUUAGGGCAGUGUUUGAGUCGUGUCUGUGAUCUCCUCACUGUGCAUUUGAAUGACCUUUGAGGAGAAGGAAAGCACUCUUGGACUUCUCAGCUGUUGCUAUGUAAAUGAUUGUGGCGGCGGUAUCUGUGGUUACCCAGAUUGCCUACAUUGCCUACGUUUUAAAAUUAGCUUUAGUGUCUACUAUUGAAAGAAAGAAAAAGAAAGCUGAAUGUUUUUCAAGGAGAGCGUGCAUUUUGUGGGGCUGAUAUGAAAUAAUGUAGAACACUGACUGCACACAUAACUUCGGCAAUAACAUUGUUCCCAAAUUAAGGAUGGAAAGUUGAGUGCAUGCUGGUGCUCUGCUCACGACCCUUAUUUCAUAGGUGUGAAAAAGUGGAGCCAUCUACCUUGCUUCAGGUGAUAAUUGGUUUCCGAUGUUCCAUUUGCCUAGUGCAAUUUAUCUCUCCCUUCUUAGUCUCUCUCUCUCUCUGUCUCUCUCUCUCCCUUCCUCUCACUCUUUCUCCAUUUUCUCGUAAGGUUAAUUUUCUAUUCCCUUUGCUUCUAAUUAAAAAAGUAAGUGAGUAUUCAUUUGUCAUAUCUACAGUGAUGAAACACACAUUAUCUCUCAAGUUUUUUUACACCUUUAAUUAUUUUCAUGUAUUCUAGUCUUUAGCUCUGAUGGGAUAAAAUUUUACCAUAUUGUAAUGAACCUCUAAACGACAGCACCUGUAUGGACUUCGCCAAAUAUAGGGUAAUGCAUAUCUUUUGUGAUAUUUAACAAAUUAUAAAACAUUUUGCCUUUAUUAGGACUGAAUAAUAAUUUGCCUCAAUACAUACGUUCACUUCCUGAAACUGAGAGAUCAGACCAUUGUCAGUCUCAAUCUAGAAUAUAAGUGGACAUACCAAGGAAUUAUGCUAAAUUAAUAUAUACAAACCUCUUAAGAAAGCAGGUAAAAUGUGACACAAUGGAUUAACUAUUGUUGCUUUCAUCUAUGCUUUAAAUGCCUUGAAGUAUAUAAAUAAAAUGACAUAUAUAAAUCAGGUAUUGUGUGGUAUCAUAUACAUAUAUGGGGACAGAAAGAGUAUGUUUCAACAUAUUAACACACGAUUCAUGAUAAGACUUGAUAAAUGCUUUUUUUAUUCAGAACAGAUAGAUCAUUCUGUUUCUGUUCCUGCGGAAAUCGCGGCAAUUUUCCCUAGAAACAAAGGCAGGACUGUGUCAAAAAAAAGAAUUAUAUUUUGAUUCAAACGA